GAGAGUAGGCGUUGGCGGUUGCAGGUCAGUCAAACUGGCUUGAGGAAAGUCCGGACUCCCGAAAGACCAAACUUGCUGGAUAACGUCCAGUGCGAGCGAUCGUGAGGAUAGUGCCACAGAAAAAUACCGCCUAAUUCAGUGAACAGUGAACAGUGAACAGUGAACAGUUAAUACCUGAUAACUGAUAACUGAUAACUGAUAACUGAAAAAGGUAAGGGUGCAAAGGUGCGGUAAGAGCGCACCAGCAGCGUCGAGAGGCGCUGGCUCGGUAAACCCCGGUUGGGAGCAAGGCCGAAGGAACUAUGGUUGGUCUUUUACCAGUUCCGUCAUAAGAGCGCCGCUAGAGGCGUUUGGUAACAAACGUCCCAGAUAGAUAAUCGCCCUCUGGUAAAGCAAUUUACACAGAGAACAGAACCCGGCUUACUACCGACUCUCUCCU
rnacentral:RNase_P_RNA from 1 species